UAGACUGUGAGUUGCGAACGGGUGAGUAACGCGUAGGUAACCUGCCUGGUAGCGGGGGAUAACUAUUGGAAACGAUAGCUAAUACCGCAUAAUAUUAAUUAUUGCAUGAUAAUUGAUUGAAAGGUGCAACUGCAUCACUACCAGAUGGACCUGCGUUGUAUUAGCUAGUAGGUGAGGUAACGGCUCACCUAGGCGACGAUACAUAGCCGACCUGAGAGGGUGAUCGGCCACACUGGGACUGAGACACGGCCCAGACUCCUACGGGAGGCAGCAGUAGGGAAUCUUCGGCAAUGGACGAAAGUCUGACCGAGCAACGCCGCGUGAGUGAAGAAGGUUUUCGGAUCGUAAAGCUCUGUUGUAAGAGAAGAACGGGUGUGAGAGUGGAAAGUUCACACUGUGACGGUAUCUUACCAGAAAGGGACGGCUAACUACGUGCCAGCAGCCGCGGUAAUACGUAGGUCCCGAGCGUUGUCCGGAUUUAUUGGGCGUAAAGCGAGCGCAGGCGGUUAGAUAAGUCUGAAGUUAAAGGCUGUGGCUUAACCAUAGUACGCUUUGGAAACUGUUUAACUUGAGUGCAGAAGGGGAGAGUGGAAUUCCAUGUGUAGCGGUGAAAUGCGUAGAUAUAUGGAGGAACACCGGUGGCGAAAGCGGCUCUCUGGUCUGUAACUGACGCUGAGGCUCGAAAGCGUGGGGAGCGAACAGGAUUAGAUACCCUGGUAGUCCACGCCGUAAACGAUGAGUGCUAGGUGUUAGGCCCUUUCCGGGGCUUAGUGCCGCAGCUAACGCAUUAAGCACUCCGCCUGGGGAGUACGACCGCAAGGUUGAAACUCAAAGGAAUUGACGGGGGCCCGCACAAGCGGUGGAGCAUGUGGUUUAAUUCGAAGCAACGCGAAGAACCUUACCAGGUCUUGACAUCCCGAUGCCCGCUCUAGAGAUAGAGUUUUACUUCGGUACAUCGGUGACAGGUGGUGCAUGGUUGUCGUCAGCUCGUGUCGUGAGAUGUUGGGUUAAGUCCCGCAACGAGCGCAACCCUUAUUGUUAGUUGCCAUCAUUCAGUUGGGCACUCUAGCGAGACUGCCGGUAAUAAACCGGAGGAAGGUGGGGAUGACGUCAAAUCAUCAUGCCCCUUAUGACCUGGGCUACACACGUGCUACAAUGGCUGGUACAACGAGUCGCAAGUCGGUGACGGCAAGCUAAUCUCUUAAAGCCAGUCUCAGUUCGGAUUGUAGGCUGCAACUCGCCUACAUGAAGUCGGAAUCGCUAGUAAUCGCGGAUCAGCACGCCGCGGUGAAUACGUUCCCGGGCCUUGUACACACCGCCCGUCACACCACGAGAGUUUGUAACACCCGAAGUCGGUGAGGUAACCUU
rnacentral:rRNA from 1 species